rfam:Natronolimnobius innermongolicus JCM 12255 contig_98, whole genome shotgun sequence.
UGAGGCGGCCACAGCGGUGAGGUGCCUCCCGUACCCAUCCCGAACACGGAAGAUAAGCUCACCUGCGUGUCAGUGAGUACUGGAGUGGGCGACCCUCUGGGAGAGCUGACUCGCCGCCACCC